rnacentral:rRNA from 1 species
GUCCUUGCCGUAAACGAUGUGGAUUAGGUGUUGGGGGUGUUGAUCCCCCCAGCGCCGCAGCUAACGCAUUAAAUCCACCACCUGGGGAGUACGGUCGCAAGACUGAAACUCAAAGAAAUUGACGGGUACCCCGCACAAGCGGUGGAGCAUGUGGUUUAAUUCGAGGCUACGCGAAGAACCUUACCCAGGCUUGACAUGUAGUUGAAUAACAGUGAAAGCUGUUAGGCCCGCAAGGGACAGUUACACAGGUGCUGCAUGGCUGUCGU